rnacentral:rRNA from 1 species
UGAGGAAUAUUGCGCAAUGGGGGCAACCCUGACGCAGCAACGCCGCGUGAGUGAGGAAGGUUUUCGGACCGUAAAGCUCUGUCGAGCGGGAAGAAAUGUAUCGUGGCUAAUAUCCAUGAUAUUUGACGGUACCGCUAAGGGAAGCACCGGCUAACUCCGUGCCAGCAGCCGCGGUAAUACGGGGGGUGCAAGCGUUGUUCGGUAUGAUUGGGCGUAAAGAGCGUGUAGGCGGCUGAAUAAGUCAGAUGUGAAAUCCCUGGGCUUAACCCAGGAAGUGCAUUUGAAACUAUUCAGCUUGAGUAGGGGAGAGGAAAGUGGAAUUCCUGGUGUAGAGGUGAAAUUCGUAGAUAUCAGGAGGAACACCGGUGGCGAAGGAGAAGAUAUGGCCCUAUACUGAAGCUGAGACGCGAGAGCGUGGGUAGCAAACA